UACAGAGGUCCCAAGCGUUGUUCGGAUUCACUGGGCGUAAAGGGUGCGUAGGUGGCGGGGAAAGUUCGAUGUGAAAUCUCCGAGCUCAACUCGGAAACUGCAGUUGAGACUACUCUGCUUGAGGGUCGGUUGGGAGACUAGAAUUCGCGGUGUAGCAGUGAAAUGCGUAGAUAUCGAGAGGAACACCAGUGGCGAAGGCGAGUCUCUGGACGACUCCUGACACUGAGGCACGAAAGCUAGGGGAGCAAACAGG
rnacentral:misc_RNA from 1 species